CCUACGGGUGACAGCAGUGGGGAAUAUUGCGCAAUGGGCGUAAGCCUGAACCAGCCAAGUCGCGUGAGGGAUGAAGGUUCUAUGGAUCGUAAACCUCUUUUAUAAGGGAAUAAAGUGCGGGACGUGUCCCGUUUUGUAUGUACCUUAUGAAUAAGGAUCGGCUAACUCCGUGCCAGCAGCCGCGGUAAUACGGAGGAUCCGAGCGUUAUCCGGAUUUAUUGGGUUUAAAGGGUGCGUAGGCGGCCUUUUAAGUCAGCGGGGAAAGUCUGUGGAUCAACCAUAGAAUUGCCGUUGAAACUGGGAGGCUUGAGAAUGUUUGAGGCAGGCGGAAUGCGUGGUGUAGCGGUGAAAUGCUUAGAUAUCACGCAGAACCCCGAUUGCGAAGGCAGCCUGCCAAGCCAUGACUGACGCUGAUGCACGAAAGCGUGGGGAUCAAACAGGAUUAGAUACCCCUGUAGUC
rnacentral:rRNA from 1 species